rnacentral:rRNA from 1 species
UACAGAGGGUGCGAGCGUUAAUCGGAAUUACUGGGCGUAAAGCGCGCGUAGGCGGCUUUGCAAGUCGGGUGUGAAAUCCCCAGGCUUAACCUGGGAACUGCAUUCGAGACUGCAUUGCUAGAGUAUGGGAGAGGGAAGUGGAAUUUCCGGUGUAGCGGUGAAAUGCGUAGAUAUCAAGAGGAACACCUGCGGCGAAGGCGGGUUGCUGGGCCGACACUGACGCUGAAGCGCGAAAGCCAGGGGAGCGAACGGG